rnacentral:rRNA from 1 species
GUCCACGCUGUAAACGAUGUCAACUAGCCGUUGGUCCUAUUUACAGGAUUAGUGGCGCAGCUAACGCAUUAAGUUGACCGCCUGGGGAGUACGGCCGCAAGGUUAAAACUCAAAUGAAUUGACGGGGGCCCGCACAAGCGGUGGAGCAUGUGGUUUAAUUCGAUGCAACGCGAAGAACCUUACCUACCCUUGACAUCCAGAGAAUCUGUUAGAGAUAGUAGAGUGCCUUCGGGAACUCUGAGACAGGUGCUGCAUGGCUGUCGU